rnacentral:rRNA from 1 species
GGUUAAGCUAAUAAGAGCACACGGAGGAUGCCUAGGCGCCAGGAGCCGACGAAGGACGUGGCGAACAACGAAACUGCCUCGGGGAGCUGUAAGCAAGCUUUGAUCCGGGGGUGUCCGAAUGGGGAAACCCAGCUGUGGUAAUUCGCAGUUACUCACAUCUGAAUACAUAGGGUGUGUAGAGGCAGACCAGGGGAACUGAAACAUCUAAGUACCCUGAGGAAGAGAAAACAAUAGUGAUUCCGUCAGUAGCGGCGAGCGAACGCGGAACAGCCUAAACCUAAGA